CAACAUGAACUGGCUGUGGGUUUGCACACGUCCCCUCCUUCCUGAACCCCCUCCCACCUCCCUCCCCACCCCACCCUUCUAGGCAGUCACGAGGCUUUGGGGUCCCUGCGUCAUGCAGCCACCUCCCACUGGCUGUCUGCUUUACGUGUGGGAAUCUAUAUGUUUCAAUGCCCUUCUCUCAGAUCAUCCCGCCCUCUCCUUCCCCUACUGUGUCCAGGCAGGGAACAAAGGAACGGGUCAGGAAUCUUGCGAGUCAUUUGCUGAUUGGGUGAGGUACGUAUAAUUUCCUUAUAUGGGGAAGGAGGAGAACAGGACAGCCUUACAUGAGACAAAAAUGGAUAAGCCAUACUGUCCAGGAGGGCUCAAAACUCCUCAGCAGUUGCAACCUGGUGGAAAGGGCGAUGGGGGUCUGGCGCUUUCUGUUCUGCGCGGGCUCAGUGAAGCUGAGGAGCAGUGAUUCUGACCGCCGGGAACACUGCCGGCCUUGGUCACUGGGAGCUGAGCGAGCUUGACCUGGGACCACUGCUCAGCUAUAAAGUGGGUGAAAUCACGGAGUUCCCAGAGGGCCCCUGAUGACAACUCUUGGCCAUGAUCGGGAGGCCCGGCUGACAAGCAGGAGGGAGGCCAGUAUGACCUCGAGCAAGUGCCCACUACACCCGUCCAGAGGAGAGAGCCUGGGUGCGUCCUCGAGGAGCUGGGCUGAGCAGGUCCCCGUCCAACCUGCCAUGAGGCCCUGGCCCGGGAGAUGGGCAGAGUCUAGAAGGACAGGAUUGGUUCCCACUUCCCCAGCUGGCCUCACCCUUCUCCGGGGGUUUCCUCUGGGGUGAGAGCUCCUCAGGUCCUGGAGGACCCCUGCCACCCCUCCCAUGGGGGCCAAUUCCUCUGGGCGUCCCCCACGAGGGCGCAGGUGCACGCGUGCACACACACGCUCACACUCACUGACUGUCCUUCUGGGAGUCAGAGGGGUGUGCAAGGGGGGAGGGACAGGGCUGAGGAGGAGGAGGCUG
rnacentral:lncRNA from 1 species